rnacentral:rRNA from 1 species
GGGGCAGCAUUCUUAGCUUGCUAAGGCGAUGGCGACCGGCGCACGGGUGAGUAACACGUAUCCACCUGCCGUCUACUCUUGGACAGCCUUCUGAAAGGAAGAUUAAUACAAGAUGGCUUCACAUGUUUAAAGGUAUUCGGUAGACGAUGGGGAUGCGUUCCAUUAGAUAGUAGGCGGGGUAACGGCCCACCUAGUCUUCGAUGGAUAGGGGUUCUGAGAGGAAGGUCCCCCACAUUGGAACUGAGACACGGUCCAAACUCUACGGGAGGCAGCAGUGAGGAAUAUUGGUCAAUGGGCGAGAGCCUGAACCAGCCAAGUAGCGUGAAGGAUGACUGCCUAUGGGUUGUAAACUUCUUUUAUAAAGGAAUAAGUCGGGUAUGCAUACCCGUUUGCAUGUACUUUAUGAAUAAGGAUCGGCUAACUCCGUGCCAGCAGCCGCGGUAAUACGGAGGAUCCGAGCGUUAUCCGGAUUUAUUGGGUUUAAAGGGAGCGUAGAUGGAUGUUUAAGUCAGUUGUGAAAGUUUGCGGCUCAACCGUAAAAUUGCAGUUGAUACUGGAUAUCUUGAGUGCAGUUGAGGCAGGCGGAAUUCGUGGUGUAGC